rnacentral:rRNA from 1 species
AGCGAGCGUUGUCCGGAUUUACUGGGUGUAAAGGGUGCGUAGGCAGCUAUGCUAGUCAGAAGUGAAAUCCAUGGGCUUAACCCAUGAACUGCUUUUGAAACUGCGUGGCUUGAGUGGAGUAGAGGUAGGCGGAAUUCCCGGUGUAGCGGUGAAAUGCGUAGAGAUCGGGAGGAACACCAGUGGCGAAGGCGGCCUACUGGGCUCUAACUGACGCUGAGGCACGAAAGCGUGGGUAGC